CUCUGGGUCAUUAAUCCCAUCCGUCUAAUGCUUUAAAAUUAAGCUCUAAGUUCAAAGGAGAAUACCUGGGAAGGCUGAUGGCGUGACUGCUGCAGCUGGAUGAGCUCCCUUUUCCUGUUCUAGUGAGUCAGUGGAUGCUGGAUGAAGCUGUGCUGUGCUCCUCAGAAACAGAUCUUUGAGCUCCCACAUACUUAUUUCCUGUGACAGAUAUCUACAGUAAUCUACAGAUUUGAUGAAAGGGACAGAAAACUGUUUCAGCACACCUCACAUCAGCAUGGAAGGCAGAGUCUGAGAUUGAUCCCACACAGUGAAAAUAAUCAACGAGACGGAAAAGUCACAGUAAUUUAAAAUCAUGGAAUGAGAAAGUUCCUAGCUGCUCUUCUGGUAAAGGCAACUUGUUGACACGGCAAGGUGAAAUGACAGUAGACCAUCUUUGGCAAAUUCUAUACAGGGCUUGUAAUUAGAAGAAAACUUCUGAACUCAAGAUUGCUUCAAACCUCUCAAGCAUUUUAUG
ensembl:lncRNA